UACGUAGGGUGCAAGCGUUAAUCGGAAUUACUGGGCGUAAAGCGUGCGCAGGCGGCUAUGCAAGACAGAUGUGAAAUCCCCGGGCUCAACCUGGGAACUGCAUUUGUGACUGCAUCGCUGGAGUGCGGCAGAGGGGGAUGGAAUUCCGCGUGUAGCAGUGAAAUGCGUAGAUAUGCGGAGGAACACCGAUGGCGAAGGCAAUCCCCUGGGCCUGCACUGACGCUCAUGCACGAAAGCGUGGGGAGCAAACAGG
rnacentral:rRNA from 1 species